AGAGCAGCUAGAAAAGAAAAUGAUUACUCAAGUUAUUUCAAUUCUAUGUAAAGUAUCUAAAUCUGUGAAGUAUAAAGAAAAUGCAAACUUACACAUGCCCUCCAUUGCACAGCCUAGAAGACACCUGAAAAGAUCAAUAAAAAUGAAGAAUGAAUUGUGAGAAUGGAUAAAAAGGAAUAUUGAAAAAUUGAAGAAUUUUUAGAAAGAUGUGCCACUAUACUUGCUGCACCAAAAUUCCAUCGAUAAUCUCGUGGCCAUCGAGGAUCAUUCUACUACAUACUUAGAAAGGAUUGUUUUUGUCACGAGGAUAUGUGUACGGUGCAAUAACAAUUCGUCAUGUAUCAUUGGUUCAAGGAAGAUGAAGCGUAGCAGUUCGAGUUGUCAUGAAAAAAAAAGUGGACGUGGAAAAGACUUACGCAUGAAUGAGAAACACAACGAACAAAGGUUCAUUGUCUAGACACGGACGAACCGUGCGUGAAACCGAUGUAUUGAUCGGCCUCAAGUCGAGCAGAAUAGAACAAGGAGACACUGGUACACGAGAUAUGCGCUAACAUUCUACAGGGCUAUAGCAUGCUGCAGCGGUAUACGAUGGCUGCAUCAUUAAAACAGUUCUUCGUCGUCGUUCUUACUUGAUCGACGAACAACAGCGUCAGAAGUGCAGUCAGCACGAGCACAUCCAACGCGCGGCCUACAGCUUGCACCAUAAUUCUACCACGGAGUGCAUGCCACCGCGCCGCCUUAUAUACCCCGGUUGUCAGGUGAAGGCUCUGCCUCUGAUAUUAUUAUCCACUUCGCGUCAAAGCGCAUCAGUCUGUCUCUGAACGACAAGAAUAUGAGUAUUUAAUUUUAUAUUUUAUAAUUUAGAGACGAAUAAAUGUAUAAUUACUUCGUUUAAUAAAAUUGAAUGAAUACAAAA